rnacentral:misc_RNA from 1 species
GGAUGAAGAACGCAGCGAAAUGCGAUAAGUAAUGUGAAUUGCAGAAUUCAGUGAAUCAUCGAAUCUUUGAACGCACAUUGCGCCCUCUGGUAUUCCGGGGGGCAUGCCUGUUCGAGCGUCAUUAUAACCACUCAAGCUCUCGCUUGGUAUUGGAGUUCGCGAUCUCGCGGCUCCUAAAAUCAGUGGCGGUGCCUGUCGGCUCUACGCGUAGUAAUACUCCUCGCGAUUGAGUCCGGUAGGUUUACUUGCCAGCAACCCCCAAUUUUUACAGGUUGACCUCGGAUCAGGUAGGGAUACCCGCUGAACUUAAGCAUAUCAAUAAGCGGAGGA